UACGGAGGAUGCAAGCGUUAUCCGGAUUUAUUGGGUUUAAAGGGUGCGUAGGCGGAUAUGUAAGUCAGCGGUGAAACUCACAGGCUCAACCUGUGCCGUGCCGUUGAAACUGUGUAUCUGGAAUGCGGAUGCUGUGGGAGGAAUGUGUAGUGUAGCGGUGAAACGCAUAGAUAUUACACAGAACACCGAUUGCGAAGGCAUCUCACAAAGCCGUUAUUGACGCUGAGGCACGAAAGUGUGGGGAUCAAACA
rnacentral:rRNA from 1 species